GUGGGUCUGAUCCCUAUAGGAUGAGGUUGUCCCUACAGGGUCGCAUAUAGAGAAGGGCUGCUCCCUGUAGGGUCGGGUCUAUAGGAGAUAAGGACUGGGGUCCCUACGGGGUCCGGUCUGUAUGGGGUGGGGGGUGCGGUCCCUAUAGAAUCAGGUCUAUAUGGGGUCAAAUUGGUUUGGUCCUUAUUGGGUCUAGCUAUAGGGGGUCUGGGUCCAUCUAUAGGGUCAGGUCUAUAUGGGGUGGUGGUGGGGGGGGGGUGCAGUCCCUAUAGAAUCAGGUCUAUAUGGGGUCAAAUUGGUUUGGUUGCUAUUGGGUCUAGCUAUAGGGGGUCUG